rnacentral:rRNA from 1 species
CUGCAGCCCGAGUGGUGAUCGAUUUUAUUGAGCCUAAAGCGUCCGUAGCCGGACUAGUAAACCCUUGGGUAAAUUGGGCAGCUUAACUGUCCAAAUUCCGAGGGGACUGCUAGUCUUGGGACCGGGAGAGGUCAGAGGUACUCCAGGGGUAGGGGCUAAAUCCUGUAAUCCUUGGGGGACCACCAGUGGCGAAGGCGUCUGACUAGAACGGAUCCGACGGUAAGGGACGAAACCCUGGGGCGCAAAACGGAUUAGAUACCCGAGUAGUCC